UACGGGGGGGGCAAGCGUUGUUCGGAAUUACUGGGCGUAAAGGGCUCGUAGGCGGCCAACUAAGUCAGACGUGAAAUCCCUCGGCUUAACCGGGGAACUGCGUCUGAUACUGGAUGGCUUGAGUUUGGGAGAGGGAUGCGGAAUUCCAGGUGUAGCGGUGAAAUGCGUAGAUAUCUGGAGGAACACCGGUGGCGAAGGCGGCGAUCCUGGACCAACACUGACGCUGAGUGAGCGAAAGCCAGGGGAGC
rnacentral:rRNA from 1 species